rnacentral:rRNA from 1 species
UACGUAGGGCGCAAGCGUUGUCCGGAAUUAUUGGGCGUAAAGAGCUCGUAGGCGGCCUGUCGCGUCCGCUGUGAAAUCCCGGGGCUUAACCCCGGGCGUGCAGUGGAUACGGGCUGGCUGGAGGCAGGCAGGGGAGAACGGAAUUCCCGGUGUGGCGGUGAAAUUCGUAGAUAUCGAGAGGAACACCGGUGGCGAAGGCGGCCAACUGGACAGAUACUGACGCUGAGACUCGAAAGCGUGGGGAGCAAACAGG